CUGUGAGCUCGAUGAGUAGGGCGGGACACGUGGUAUCCUGUCUGAAUAUGGGGGGACCAUCCUCCAAGGCUAAAUACUCCUGACUGACCGAUAGUGAACCAGUACCGUGAGGGAAAGGCGAAAAGAACCCCGGCGAGGGGAGUGAAAAAGAACCUGAAACCGUGUACGUACAAGCAGUGGGAGCACAGAGCAAUCUGUGUGACUGCGUACCUUUUGUAUAAUGGGUCAGCGACUUAUAUUCUGUAGCAAGGUUAACCGAAUAGGGGAGCCGAAGGGAAACCGAGUCUUAACUGGGCGUUAAGUUGCAGGGUAUAGACCCGAAACCCGGUGAUCUAGCCAUGGGCAGGUUGAAGGUUGGGUAACACUAACUGGAGGACCGAACCGACUAAUGUUGAAAAAUUAGCGGAUGACUUGUGGCUGGGGGUGAAAGGCCAAUCAAACCGGGAGAUAGCUGGUUCUCCCCGAAAGCUAUUUAGGUAGCGCCUCGUGAAUUCAUCUCCGGGGGUAGAGCACUGUUUCGGCAAGGGGGUCAUCCCGACUUACCAACCCGAUGCAAACUGCGAAUACCGGAGAAUGUUAUCACGGGAGACACACGGCGGGUGCUAACGUCCGUCGUGAAGAGGGAAACAACCCAGACCGCCAGCUAAGGUCCCAAAGUCAUGGUUAAGUGGGAAACGAUGUGGGAAGGCCCAGACAGCCAGGAUGUUGGCUUAGAAGCAGCCAUCAUUUAAAGAAAGCGUAAUAGCUCACUGGUCGAGUCGGCCUGCGCGGAAGAUGUAACGGGGCUAAACCAUGCACCGAAGCUGCGGCAGCG
rnacentral:rRNA from 1 species